UACGAAGGGGGCGAGCGUUAUUCGGAAUCACUGGGCGUAAAGCGUGCGUAGGCGGUCUUGUAAGUUAGGAGUGAAAGCCCAGGGCUUAACCUUGGAAUUGCUCUUAAAACUGCAAGGCUAGAAUCUCGGAGAGGAUAGCGGAAUUUCCAGUGUAGCAGUGAAAUGCGUAGAUAUUGGAAGGAACACCAGUGGCGUAAGCGGCUAUCUGGACGAGUAUUGACGCUGAGGCACGAAAGCGUGGGGAUCAAACAGG
rnacentral:rRNA from 1 species